ACGCGCAGCGCAGUUGUAACCUGUCUUCCCUGAGGUGCUCGUGGAGAGUAAUUGGCGAGAAGUAGCUCUCGGUCUCCAGUCCCGGGUCCCCAAAUCCCGCCCAGGUUGGCAAGAGGAAAGAAGCUCGUGGUCGCCCCGCAUCCCCGUCCCUUCUCGGCGCAGAGACCUCACUCACCCGGCUCCGCGGCCCGGGUCCUCCCACGUCUCCCAGAGGCUGUUUGUUCCCGGCCCCGCGAGCCUCCCCGGAGCGCGGGAGCUCGGCCCGGGCUCCUCUUUGUAGCCGCGGCGGGUCCCGCUCCCCCCGACGCCGCUCGGGACGCAGCCGGCCGAGCUCUGGCCGAGCCGGGUCGGCGGGACGUCGGGGAGACAGACAUUCGAGAGAAGACUGAGGGAUUCAAACUGAAAACCCCGAGGAGAGAGUUUUCGGAGUCUUCUCUUGUGCUUGCAAACAGCGACAGUCUCAAGCUGGGAAAGCAACGUUGGGUAGACCGGGCAGGCGAGGACCGCGCCCCACCGAUCGCAGGCGCUCGGCCCGGGAGACGGAACCACCAUUAAACGCCCCAAAUAAUGACCAGUCUGCAUCCAUCCAUUAAUUGAAUGGAUCAUCCCAUUGAUUUUCACCUGCUUCAUCCUAAUUGGCUUCAUCGUCGUGAAACUUAUGAAGAAAUCAGGGACCACAGCAGCCAUUCCAUCAUCUGAUGUUUCUUCCCUGGGCCAGGAGAAGGUGGAAAUGUUAGACCAACCCUUGGUGGAAAAAACUGACCCUUGAUGACAGUCUGGCUGCUGAUCUAAUAUAUUAUCUUCUACUCAGAGGUGGGUUUACCAAGAAGGUAAAGAACCCCUUGCUUUCCACGGCUGUUGAUGAGCUCUUACGGCCGGAGUUAAGCGGAAAGGAAACGUGUCCGACCACCUUCCUGUACCUUUGGGAGGAGCCUCUCCACUGUGUCUCAUAGGCCUUCCCGUCAAAGGGAGGGUCAGCACCUGAAAUAAAAGAGAGCUCUGUGUGCCCAGUUGUACUGGGCCAUUACCUAACACAGUGCACAAAAAUGCAAUCAUAAUGGACAAAAGACUUAAAUAUAAGACCUAAAACUGUAAAAUCUUAGAAGAAAACACAGGACAAAAGCUUCACGACAUUCGAUCUGGCUAUGAUUUCUUGGAUGUGACACCAAAGACACAGGCAACAAAAGAAGAAAAUAAACAAAUUGAACUUCAUGAAAUUUAAACAUUUUGCACAUGGAAAGACAGUAUCAAAAGAGUUAAAAGGCAGCCCACUGAAAGGGAGGAAGUGUUUGCGAAUCAUAUGUCUGAUAAGGGAUUAAUAUCCAGAAUAUAUAGAAAACUCCUAAAACUCAACAACAAAAACACAAACAACCUGAUUGAAAAAUGGGCAAAAGGCUUGAACAGAUAUUUCUCCAAAGAAGAUAUACCGUAGGCACAUGGAAAUUGCUCAACAUCACUAAUCAUUAGGGAAAUAGAAAUCAAAACUACGGUGAGAUUUCCCCUCACACCCAUUAGGAUGGCUUCCAUUAAAAAAAGAGAAAAUAGCAAAGAACAUAACGAGGUUGUGGAGUAAUUGGAAACUUUGUGCAUUUUUUGAUGAGGAUGUAAAAUGAUAUAGCUGCUGUGGAAAACAAUAUGGCCGUUCUUCAAAAAAUUAAAACUAGAAUCGCCAUAUGAUCCAGCGAUUCCACUUCUGGGUAUGUACCCAAAAGAAUUG